ensembl:lncRNA
UUCUUUUCAGACUGACCCUUGCCCUCGUGAUGAUAAUAUAGCUGCUGGAGCCCAGCAACUACAUCCUCUCAGGGGUAAGAACAUCAGAGGAGAGAGAGCUUCAACCAGUUCGAACAAAAACCCGGGACCUAAUCUUCAACUACCCAAGUUAGGUCAAGUGGCCAUCCCUGACACAAUUACACUGGCCAGGAGAAGGCAAGACAGAGCCUGGUAUAAAGCUAGGUCCCAUAAUGACCUCUGUGGGAGAAGAAUCUAAAAACAAUGACAUGAGGGUCUAUGUGCCCAAAGAAUCAACAACAACAAAAAGUUCCUGAAACUAAUAAGGCUGAAAGACAGAAGGAGCCGUGAUAGAACCAGACUUGUGGGGACCCUCAGUCAGCAGAAGCAAUGACACAGCAGUGACCUUCAUGGACCAGAGGACAAUGUCCACCACAGUGGGCACCACCCUGACAGACAACAGCAAGGAUGGACUCCUUAUCCAAAUCCCCACCUGAUGCCAUGAUCCCCUCCAUGUUCCUCGAAGUGAAAACUAACUCUAAAAAUUAAUCCAGGAAACCCUAACUGAAAAAUAGAAGUUAGGUUGAAUUCUCUAAGUACAGAUAAUUACAUUUCAGGACUUCCUCAGCACUCCAGUGAUCCAGUGGUUAAGACUGCACUUCCACUGCUGGGAAAUGGGUUCAGUCCCUGGUUGGGGAACUUGGAUCCCCACAUGCCACAUGGCAAGAGUUAAAAAGAAAAUUACAUUUUUGUGUGCCUGAGUUUGUGGGUUAGGAUUCACUCACACAAAGACUAGAUAAACCUUCUUUGUUUCAGUCUCCAGGUUAAGGAUGG